UUUUCCCUGAGAAGAAGAUCUGACGGUAUCAGGGGAAUAAGCAUCGGCUAACUUCGUGCCAGCAGCCGCGGUAAUACGAGGGAUGCAAGCGUUAUCCGGAAUUAUUGGGCGUAAAGCGUCCGCAGGUGGCUCUGUAAGUCUGUCGUUAAAGAAUGGGGCUCAACCCCAUACAGGCGAUGGAAACUACAAGGCUAGAGUUUGGUAGGGGUCACGGGAAUUCUUAGUGUAGCGGUGAAAUGCGUAGAUAUUAAGAAGAACACCAGCGGCGAAAGCGCGU
rnacentral:rRNA from 1 species